rnacentral:rRNA from 1 species
AUGAUGCAACGUUGAAAGUUGGCCUUUGGCUAACACUGUAGGAUGGGCCCGCGGCGCAUUAGCUAGUUGGUAAGGUAACGGCUUACCAAGGCCACGAUGCGUAGCCGACCUGAGAGGGUGAUCGGCCACACUGGGACUGAGACACGGCCCAGACUCCUACGGGAGGCAGCAGUAGGGAAUCUUCCGCAAUGGACGAAAGUCUGACGGAGCAACGCCGCGUGAGUGACGAAGGCCUUCGGGUCGUAAAGCUCUGUUGUUAGGGAAGAACAAGUACCGUUCGAAUAGGGCGGUACCUUGACGGUACCUAACCAGAAAGCCACGGCUAACUACGUGCCAGCAGCCGCGGUAAUACGUAGGUGGCAAGCGUUGUCCGGAAUUAUUGGGCGUAAAGCGCGCGCAGGCGGUCUCUUAAGUCUGAUGUGAAAGCCCACGGCUCAACCGUGGAGGGCCAUUGGAAACUGGGGGACUUGAGUGCAGAAGAGGAGAGUGGAAUUCCACGUGUAGCGGUGAAAUGCGUAGAUAUGUGGAGGAACACCAGUGGCGAAGGCGGCUCUCUGGUCUGUAACUGACGCUGAGGCGCGAAAGCGUGGGGAGCGAACAGGAUUAGAUACCCUGGUAGUCCACGCCGUAAACGAUGAGUGCUAGGUGUUGGGGGGUUCCACCCUCAGUGCUGAAGUUAACACAUUAAGCACUCCGCCUGGGGAGUACGACCGCAAGGUUGAAACUCAAAGGAAUUGACGGGGGCCCGCACAAGCAGUGGAGCAUGUGGUUUAAUUCGAAGCAACGCGAAGAACCUUACCAGGUCUUGACAUCCUCUGCCACUCCUAGAGAUAGGACGUUCCCCUUCGGGGGACAGAGUGACAGGUGGUGCAUGGUUGUCGUCAGCUCGUGUCGUGAGAUGUUUGGGUUAAGUCCCGCAACGAGCGCAACCCUUGAUCUUAGUUGCCAGCAUUAGUUGGGCACUCUAAGGUGACUGCCGGUGAC